ensembl:lncRNA
AAUUAGUCAAAGCUGUCCAACGAUUUUAGUCUGUUUUUAAAGAUAUCACCCUAAUGAUUAAAAAACAUACAUAUUAAUGUACAUGUAUAUUAAUUACAUAUUAAUUACACAUGCUAUUACAUAUUAAUAACAUAAAAAAAAAAUUCAAGCUCUUAUUUUAUCCUAUUGUGGGUCUUAAAGAAUUUGCAGCCUGAAGAUAUAGUAGACAAAAUAUCAGACUGGAUUCUGUUAAAAUCCUUAUGAUAUAGGCUACAUUAAAAAAAAUAAUAAUAACCUUAUUUGCACUUGAAGUCAAUUCUUUUUGUUGUCAGCCGGUGCACCGAGGACAUAAAAACAGCAACAGUGUCAUCUACUGGUUCAUAAAUGCCAUUUUCAAAUAUCACACAAUCUGCACUCAUUUUCAGUGACACAUCAGAACACAGAGAAUGAAUAUGAAGUAAAUCACUAUAAUAAGGUAACACUUUAGAAUACUGUUCUGUACCUACAAAGGAAUAAUUGAGUAACACCUCAAUAUGUCAAUGCUUUAAUAACUAGCUAGGAUUAGGGUUAAUAAGAUUUAGGGUUAGGAUUAGAAUUGGUUUUAUCAUUGCAUAACUGGUUUGAGGGAAAAAUCACCAAAUGCCAUUAUUAAGAGGUUAUCAUGCUUUCUUUUCUUUUUUUCUUUUUCUUUUUUUUUUUUUUUUUUACUGGUGGCGAAGUCAGUCCUGGAGAGCCACAGCCCUGCAGAGUUUUGCUUCAACCCUAAUCAAACACACCUGAACAAGCUGAUCAAGGUCUGAAGGGUUACUAGAGAUGAGUUUUAGUUAUGGUUAGAGCUGAACUCUGCAGGGCUGUGGCUGUCCAGGAACGGAGUUCGUCACCUCUGCUUUAGAACAUGUUUCAAAUUAUUAGCAAUUGCUUCUGAGGAAUUUGGUAAUACUUGAAUCAUUGCUAAGGAGGCAAACGUGUUAAACUGAAAGAAGAUGAAGUGUGUGGACAAGAUAUGCAGGAUUUUUCAGGUCAAUGGCAGUAGUCUGUACAUUACAGAUGAUGCAAACACUGCAAUAUUCCCAGAGCCAACAGGACGAUUUUGCACCAUCAGUCUUUCACAUCGCGGUCAUUACGAGGUCCACGGAGAUCCAGAUCAAAGUCAGUCCCCUGCAAGUAGAGCCCUACACAGUGCAGGUGUUCCUUUGGCCGUCAUGCACCGACCUUCAUUUUCUGCUUCCACUGACACACCAGGAGCUUCACCUGGAACUCCACGAGCUGGUGGCCUGUUCCCAGCAAGAUCGUUCCAAAGGUCAAUCCAUAUUGCUGAAAUAGUGAAUGAAAAUUUAAGUACUUCAAGGACAGUGGUCAUUCGCUUUUUGUAAGCUGAUGCAGCUGUUGAAGGAAUAACAUCAAAGGUGAAGGAUGCUUUAAGAUUUCAUGAGCCACUUAUCCUCACAGACAGCCAAGGAAAUGAAACUGACUCUGAGGCCACAAGAAGUGAGCUGUAUGACCAGAAAUGUCUAAUUAGCAGAUUCUAAUUAACAUUAAUGUUGAUUAAGAGAAAUACAGAAACAAAAUG